ACUGUUCUGGAAAGGACCCCCCACUGGGUUCAGCCUGCCCGCCGCCAGGGGAAAGACAUCUCUCAAUGCCCGAGACUGGUGAAAAGGAAAGGAAUUAUGUUUUCCAAAGUUGUACAAACUUAAGAAUUAUGACUUAAUGUCUUCAUUCAAAUACUAAAGUCCUUUAGAAUCCCCACAGACGCACACAGUCCCUCUGCCCAGUCCUGGGUACCGCAUCUCAGGAGAAGAAGUAGAAGUCCGUGGCUCAGGCAGCCCCGGGUUCUGGCACCAUCAGCCUUAUCUCGCCGCCAUCUCCAGUUAAUCCCAAACCAGGCAGGCGGCACCUUCCCAUGGCCCAGCAGCAAGAGUCCUUUCACCCCUUUUCUUCCAGGCAAAGCCUCUCCUGCUUCCUAAGCCACGUGGCAAAAGGCAGCACCCCAAAGCCUGGGUUUUAGUCCCAGCACCAGUCUUCCUCUGCAGCCCCAUUUCCGCCUCCCCACAAUCAGUGACACCCGCCAGCACUCCCGGAUCCUCCCGGCUGUACUGGGCUGCCAUCGUGAGUCCGGGCAGGCGUGGUCCCGUGGCGUGGAGCCAGUCUCCUCCAGGCUCUCAUGCAGGCGCUGUAACCAGAGGGAGCUGCCUCCCAGUUACAUCUUGGGGGGAAGUCACUUCCAUCCCCCUGGCUCAGAGCCUGGCCACAUUAUUUAACACAUCCGUGAAACCGGUUAAAGGUUAUAGACAUGUUAAAUGCCCACGCCAGAGGUCAGCCGCAAAGCUGCUCUGUACAACACAGCUCUGCAUGGCCCUGCCCCACGGUGUCAUCCCCCAGCUCAGACGUGUGGGGUAAGGACAUCCUACAUAUAGAUACUAUUUUCUAAUAUUUCCUGGACACCCUGAGUUCUGGACCGCAUUCCAGAUCCCCAUUUGGGCCCCCCUUGGCUGCACCCUAUGUCACCCUGUAGGAAGCUGCAG